rnacentral:rRNA from 1 species
GUGAGGAAUCUUCCACAAUGGGCGCAAGCCUGAUGGAGCAAUGCCGCGUGCAGGAAGACGCUUUUCGGAGUGUAAACUGCUUUUCUGAAGGAAGAUUAUGACGGUACUUCAGGAAUAAGGAUCGGCUAACUACGUGCCAGCAGCCGCGGUAAUACGUAGGAUCCAAGCGUUAUCCGGAAUUAUUGGGCGUAAAGCGUGCGCAGACGGUUUGAAAGGUCUUAUGCGAAAUCCUGUGGCUCAACCACAAGGACUGUAUGAGAAACCAUCUGACUAGAGGUAGGUAGAGGCAAGUGGAAUUUCUGGUGUAGGGGUGACAUCCGUAGAUAUCAGAAGGAACACCAAUGGCGAAGGCAGCUUGCUGGGCCUUACCUGACGUUCAGGCACGAAAGCGUGGGGAGCGAACAGGAUUAGAUACCCGGGUAGUCC